UCCCGGCGGUCCAAGUCGCAUCCACAAUUAUUGGGUCUAAAACAUUCGUAGCUUGUUUUGUAAGUCUCUUGUGAAAUCUCAUAUCUCAAGUAUGGGGCGUGCAAGAGAUACUGCAUUACUAGAGACCGGAAGACGCAAAGAGUAUGAUUGAGGUAGCGGUAAAAUGUGUUAAUCUUAAUCAGACUAACAAUGGCGAAGGCACUUUGCGAGUACGGAUCUGACAGUGAGGGAUGAAGGCUAGGGGCGCAAAAGG
rnacentral:rRNA from 1 species